GUACUCACUUCAGUAGCACAUGCACUAAAAUUGGAAUGAUACAAAGAAAAUUAACAUGGUCCCCACUCAAGGAAAACAGUUGAUACCAUCUUCAGAUCUUCAUUUAG
ensembl:snRNA U6 U6 spliceosomal RNA